rnacentral:rRNA from 1 species
GACGAACGCUGGCGGCGUGCUUAACACAUGCAAGUCGAACGGAAAGGCCCUGCUUUUGUGGGGUGCUCGGGUGGCGAACGGGUGAGUAACACGUGAGUAACCUGCCCUUGACUUUGGGAUAACUUCAGGAAACUGGGGCUACUACCGGAUAUGAGCUCCUGCUGCACGGUGGGGGUUGGAAAGUUUCGGCGGUUGGGGUUGGACUCGCGGCUUAUCAGCUUGUUGGUGGGGUAGUGGCUUACCAAGGCUUUGACGGGUAGCCGGCCUGAGAGGUGGACCGGCGACAUGGGGCCUGCGAUACGGGCCAGACGCCUACGGGAGGCAUGAGUGGGGAAUAUUGCACAAUGGGAGGAAGCCUGAGGCAGCAACGCCGCGUGCGGGAUGACGGCCUUCGGGUUGUAAACCGCUUUCGCCUGUGACGAAGCGUGAGUGACGGUAAUGGGUAAAGAAGCACCGGCUAACUACGUG